rnacentral:rRNA from 1 species
CCUACGGGAGGCAGCAGUAGGGAAUCUUCCACAAUGGACGAAAGUCUGAUGGAGCAACGCCGCGUGAGUGAUGAAGGUUUUCGGAUCGUAAAACUCUGUUGUAAGGGAAGAACAAGUACGUUAGGAAAUGAACGUACCUUGACGGUACCUUAUUAAGAAAGCCACGGCUAACUACGUGCCAGCAGCCGCGGUAAUACGUAGGUGGCAAGCGUUGUCCGGAUUUAUUGGGCGUAAAGCGCGCGCAGGCGGUUUCUUAAGUCUGAUGUGAAAGCCCACGGCUUAACCGUGGAGGGUCAUUGGAAACUGGGAGACUUGAGUGCAGAAGAGGAAAGUGGAAUUCCAAGUGUAGCGGUGAAAUGCGUAGAGAUUUGGAGGAACACCAGUGGCGAAGGCGACUUUUCUGGUCUGCAACUGACGCUGAGGCGCGAAAGCAUGGGGAGCAAACAGGAUUAGAUACCCUGGUAGUCCAUGCCGUAAACGAUGAGUGCUAAGUGUUAGGGGGUUUCCGCCCCUUAGUGCUGCAGCUAACGCAUUAAGCACUCCGCCUGGGGGAGUACGACCGCAAGGUUGAAACUCAAAGGAAUUGACGGGGGCCCGCACAAGCGGUGGAGCAUGUGGUUUAAUUCGAAGCAACGCGAAGAACCUUAC